GCCGGGCAUGGUGGUACACACCUGUAGUCCCAGCUCCUCUGAAGUUGGAGGUGGGAAGAUCACUUGAGCCCAGGAAUUGGACACCAGUCUGGGAAACAUGGUGAGACCCUGUCUCCUU
rnacentral:sRNA from 1 species